GACGAACACUGACGGCACGCCUAACACAUGCAAGUCGAACGGACAUAUUGUGCUUGCACAAUAUGUUAGUGGCGAACGGGUGAGUAACACGUGAGCAACCUGGCUCUAAGAGAGGGAUAGCUUCUGGAAACGGAUGGUAACACCUCAUAAAAUAAACUGACGGCAUCGUUGGUUUAUCAAAGAAAUUCGCUUAGAGAUGGGCUCGCGUCUGAUUAGAUAGUUGGUGAGGUAACGGCUCACCAAGUCGACGAUCAGUAGCCGGACUGAGAGGCUGAACGGCCACAUUGGGACUGGGACACGGCCCAGACUCCUACGGGGGGCAGCAGUGGGGAAUAUUGCACAAUGGGGGAAACCCUGAUGCAGCGAUGCCGCGUGGAGGGUGAAGGCCUUCGGGUCGUAAACUCCUGUCGAUGGGGACGAAGUACCAGCGAUGGUAUUGACUGUACCCGUUGAGGAAGCCACGGCUAACUCCGUGCCAGCCGCCGCGGUAAAAC
rnacentral:rRNA from 1 species